ACACAUUAGCGAUUGAGGUAUUUGUCGAAGCUCUUUUUGUGUUGUUGCGUAUAUGCAACACAAAAAAGCGACUACCGAAAGCGCGACCCUUG
rnacentral:sRNA from 1 species